rnacentral:rRNA from 1 species
GACGAACGCUGGCGGCGUGCCUAACACAUGCACGUCGAGCGAGGAAUGUCGGAUAGCUUGCUAUCUGGUAUUUCUAGCGGCGGACGGGUGAGUAACGCGUGAGCAACCUGCCUUUAUCAGGGGGAUAACGCAUCGAAAGAUGUGCUAAUACCGCGUAAGACCACAGCCUCACAUGGGGCAGGGGUCAAAGGAGGAAUCCGGAUAAAGAUGGGCUCGCGUCCGAUUAGCUAGUUGGUGAGAUAACAGCCCACCAAGGCGACGAUCGGUAGCCGACCUGAGAGGGUGAUCGGCCACAUUGGAACUGAGAGACGGUCCAGACUCCUACGGGAGGCAGCAGUGGGGAAUAUUGGGCAAUGGGCGAAAGCCUGACCCAGCAACGCCGCGUGAGGGAAGAAGGGUUUCGGCUCGUAAACCUCUGUCCUAUG